rnacentral:lncRNA from 1 species
AGCGAAAGCACAGCUUGCAUGUUUUGAAAUCACACUGUAGGUGCUUUUCUCUUCAUCUUCACAGUAAAUACAUGGAGAAGACAGCCUAGGUUGCAGCAAGCAAAUUUAUAUUGGACCAAAGAGAGAAAAAUAUGCACAUAUGCUAGCAUUGGCUUAACACGCAGAGGCCCAGUCUUUUCUAAACUCUUCAUGGGAAGAAGCCAACUCUGCAGCUUUGCCUCCCACAGGUAUUACAGUAACUUCCUAAUUUCCUCUCCUGCCUCUACCAUACUCUCUUUUGU